rnacentral:rRNA from 2 species
GAGUUUGAUCCUGGCUCAGAUUGAACGCUGGCGGCAUGCUUUACACAUGCAAGUCGAACGGCAGCGCGGGCUUCGGCCUGGCGGCGAGUGGCGAACGGGUGAGUAAUACAUCGGAACAUGCCCACUUGUGGGGGAUAGCUCGGCGAAAGCCGGAUUAAUACCGCAUGAGAUCUACGGAUGAAAGCAGGGGACCUUCGGGCCUUGCGCGAGUGGAGUGGCCGAUGGCAGAUUAGGUAGUUGGUGGGGUAAAGGCCUACCAAGCCUGCGAUCUGUAGCUGGUCUGAGAGGACGACCAGCCACACUGGGACUGAGACACGGCCCAGACUCCUACGGGAGGCAGCAGUGGGGAAUUUUGGACAAUGGGCGCAAGCCUGAUCCAGCAAUGCCGCGUGCAGGACGAAGGCCCUCGGGUUGUAAACUGCUUUUGUACAGAACGAAAAGAGCUGGGUUAAUAACCCU